rnacentral:rRNA from 1 species
GAAUUGACGGGGGCCCGCACAAGCGGUGGAGCAUGUGGUUUAAUUCGAAGCUACGCGAAGAACCUUACCAGGUCUUGACAUCUUGCGCUAACCUAAGAGAUUAGGCGUUCCCUUCGGGGACGCAAUGACAGGUGGUGCAUGGUCGUCGUCAGCUCGUGUCGUGAGAUGUUGGGUUAAGUCCCGCAACGAGCGCAACCCUUGUUACUAGUUGCCAGCAUUUAGUUGGGCACUCUAGUGAGACUGCCGGUGACAAACCGGAGGAAGGUGGGGACGACGUCAGAUCAUCAUGCCCCUUAUGACCUGGGCUACACACGUGCUACAAUGGACGGUACAACGAGUUGCGAACUCGCGAGAGUAAGCUAAUCUCUUAAAGCCGUUCUCAGUUCGGACUGUAGGCUGCAACUCGCCUACAC